rnacentral:rRNA from 1 species
GACGAACGCUGGCGGCGUGCUUAACACAUGCAAGUCGAACGGAAAAGCCCUGCUUUUGUGGGGUGCUCGAGUGGCGAACGGGUGAGUAACACGUGAGUAACCUGCCCUUGACUUUGGGAUAACUUCAGGAAACUGGGGCUAAUACCGGAUAGGAGCUCCUGCUGCAUGGUGGGGGUUGGAAAGUUUCGGCGGUUGGGGAUGGACUCGCGGCUUAUCAGCUUGUUGGUGGGGUAGUGGCUUACCAAGGCUUUGACGGGUAGCCGGCCUGAGAGGGUGACCGGCCACAUUGGGACUGAGAUACGGCCCAGACUCCUACGGGAGGCAGCAGUGGGGAAUAUUGCACAAUGGGCGGAAGCCUGAUGCAGCAACGCCGCGUGCGGGAUGACGGCCUUCGGGUUGUAAACCGCUUUCGCCUGUGACGAAGCGUGAGUGACGGUAAUGGGUAAAGAAGCACCGGCUAACUACGCG